rnacentral:rRNA from 1 species
AUUGAACGCUGGCGGCAGGCUUAACACAUGCAAGUCGAGCGGAGAUGAGGUGCUUGCACCUUAUCUUAGCGGCGGACGGGUGAGUAAUGCUUAGGAAUCUGCCUAUUAGUGGGGGACAACAUUCCGAAAGGAAUGCUAAUACCGCAUACGCCCUACGAGGGAAAGCAGGGGCUCUUCGGACCUUGCGCUAAUAGCUGAGCCUAAGUCGGAUUAGCUAGUUGGUGGGGUAGAGGCCUACCAAGGCGACGAUCUGUAGCGGGUCUGAGAGGAUGAUCCGCCACACUGGGACUGAGACACGGCCCAGACUCCUACGGGAGGCAGCAGUGGGGAAUAUUGGACAAUGGGCGGAAGCCUGAUCCAGCCAUGCCGCGUGUGUGAAGAAGGCCUUUUGGUUGUAAAGCACUUUAAGCGAGGAGGAGGCUACCUGGAUUAAUACUCUAGGAUAGUGGACGUUACUCGCAGAAUAAGCACCGGCUAACUCUGUGCCAGCCGCCGCCGUAACAC